UUCUUUUCCAGAUAUCAAAACCUACAAGUAAAAAUAUGAAAAUCACUACAGGCCAACCAGGGAGUACAAUUGUUACUCAACAAAAAAGAAAAUUGCAACAGAAAUUAAUUGAUCUAGCUCAGUUACUACCUGAAGGCAUGAAAUCAUUGCAAUCAGUCAUACAAAAAAACAGGAACACAAGGAUAAUAAUUAGUUGAAAGACUUCCAUGAUAAGACUUCACCAUACUCAACCAUAAUAAGAUUGCAUGGAUGUUUCGAAACCCACUCCAGUCAUUGAACCACAGAAAGGACCAUGUUAUGCUUAACACAGCAUAAGUGGUAAGCAAAGAAGUGAAAGGACUAGUUUCACUCAUAACAGAGCAGCUUAUAGAUUGAGAUUUGAAAUCUGUUGGACCUUGUGAAAUUACAAAAUCACAGGAGAGUGACUUGGUCAAGAUGAAAGAGAAUUUGUCAUACAAGUCCUCUCUGGUUCAUACAGAAUUUAAUUGGACACUAGAAACACUUAAUAAAUCAUGAAAAGAUAAGCAUUCACACUUCAAUAAGUAUAAGAAAACCUCCUAUAGUGCAUCUUUACUGAUACUAAAGAGUGCCCUCAUGAAUUCAUAUAAGUAUCUCUUAAUAUAUAUGCAAACAACAGCUAGAGCGCAUAUCAAGAACUAGACUGUAAAAAAUAACAACUUUGUCCCAUUUAGGCUAAGCUGACAAACAAGACUCCAGUUCCACUAAUAAAAGAGCAGCUUAUAGGUUGAGAGUUUGAAACUGAUGUAUUCUG
rnacentral:misc_RNA from 1 species